CGGACGGGUGAGUAAUGCCUAGGAAUCUGCCUAGUAGUGGGGGACAACGUUUCGAAAGGAACGCUAAUACCGCAUACGUCCUACGGGAGAAAGCAGGGGACCUUCGGGCCUUGCGCUAUCAGAUGAGCCUAGGUCGGAUUAGCUAGUUGGUGAGGUAAUGGCUCACCAAGGCGACGAUCCGUAACUGGUCUGAGAGGAUGAUCAGUCACACUGGAACUGAGACACGGUCCAGACUCCUACGGGAGGCAGCAGGA
rnacentral:rRNA from 1 species